UGGGGAUUAUUGGACAAUGGGCGAAAGCCUGAUCCAGCCAUGCCGCGUGUGUGAAGAAGGUCUUCGGAUUGUAAAGCACUUUAAGUUGGGAGGAAGGGCAGUAAGCGAAUACCUUGCUGUUUUGACGUUACCGACAGAAUAAGCACCGGCUAACUCUGUGCCAGCAGCCGCGGUAAUAUAGAGGGUGCAAGCGUUAAUCGGAAUUACUGGGCGUAAAGCGCGCGUAGGUGGGUCGUUAAGUUGAAUGUGAAAGCCCCGGGCUCAACCUGGGAGCUGCAUCCAAAACUGGCGGGCUAGAAGCGGGCAGAGGGUGGUGGCAUUUCCUGUGUGGCGGUGAAAUGCGUAGAUAUAGGAAAGAACACCAGUGGCGAAGGCGACCACCUGGGCUCAUACUGACACUGAGGUGCGAAAGCGUGGGGAGCAAACAGG
rnacentral:rRNA from 1 species